CCCUGGCUCAGGAUGAACGCUAGCGGCAGGCUUAACACAUGCAAGUCGAGGGGUAUAGGUUUUCGGAACAAGAGACCGGCGCACGGGUGCGUAACGCGUAUGCAAUCUACCUUUUGCAGAGGGAUAGCCCAGAGAAAUUUGGAUUAAUACCUCAUAGUAUAGCAGUUUCGCAUGAAACCACUAUUAAAGUCACAACGGCAAAAGAUGAGCAUGCGUCCCAUUAGCUAGUUGGUAAGGUAACGGCUUACCAAGGCUACGAUGGGUAGGGGUCCUGAGAGGGAGAUCCCCCACACUGGUACUGAGACACGGACCAGACUCCUACGGGAGGCAGCAGUGAGGAAUAUUGGACAAUGGGCGCAAGCCUGAUCCAGCCAUGCCGCGUGCAGGAUGACGGUCCUAUGGAUUGUAAACUGCUUUUGUACAGGAAGAAACACUCCCUCGUGAGGGAGCUUGACGGUACUGUAAGAAUAAGGAUCG
rnacentral:rRNA from 1 species